rnacentral:lncRNA from 10 species
CUUUUCCCAUGCGCAUCGCAAGGGAUCGGUUGAUGGGGCCCUCAGUAUGACUUCGCUAGGAAAAAUAAAGCUCGUUUCUCAGAGCCGGCGGAUGUUCAUGGGCAGCACCAUCGAGCCAGAAGCAGUAUUUGUCCUGGUAAGUCAUUUCUCAACUGCCGAAGUGUACUAGGUUCCAGUCCCGCUGGUUUCUCGAAUCUGCUAGUCCCACACGAGCACCAAUAGGUAAACCCAGCCGGCAGUUUCCGGCUAGCACUUUCGCUAUUUGAAGACAUUAGGAAGUUAUGUGGUGGCUCCGUACCCUCCUUUCUCCAUCCGAGGCCGGGGUCCUAAAGUCGGUGUCACGGUGGCAGCACCCAGCGUUUUGUUGGCUCUUUCGCCAGCAGCGCCGAGCGGGGGGUUUUCUGUCACAGCACUUGUUGCACCGAAUUUCUCGGUCGCAGAACCUCUCUUUUCCGAGGGUCGACAUUUUCUGCGUGACAACACCGUUGGUUCCGCCAAAAUGGAUGUUGUCCUUGGGAACUCCUCCGGCUGGCGUCACUCUUAGGGUCCCAGCACCGCCAUUUCGCCAAGCCGAGUUCUCUUGGUCGCGGCACAUCUUGUUCCUCGGUGCCUCCAUUUUCUCGGUGGCGGCAGCGCUCUGGUAGCCGAUCUGAGGGAUUUGGAAUCGCAGCCAGUUGCGCAGAGUCUGGGGUUCCCGGGCGACGCCGGCGCUGGGCGGGGGAGCCCGCCGCUCCUCCGAGCCAGAGGCAGAGGAGCUGCGCGGACGCCGUCUCUUCACAGCGCCGCGAGCGCCGACGCACGGGUUCCUGCUCGGCCUCCUGAACCCAGUCCCCCGGCGGCGCCGCUGGCGUCUCUAUCGCAGGCCCCUGCGGUUUCGCCCGUCGUUGGCUUCUUGGUCCUAGCAAGUUUCGAUUUCGCGGUGCCCGCUAUUUCUACCUCUUGUCCAAAUAACUAGCCAAAAUGUGAUUUCUCAGCCUAAGCAAGUCCCGAUUUAGGGCAUCGGUCUAGCCCUGGCUGCGAUUUCUUGGUCCUAGGAAGUCACUGUUUAGCUGUAGCAAGGCAGACUUAACCGUGCGAUGGUGACUUUUCUUUUUCUUUGGUUCUUUUUCUUUUCUCUUUCUUUCUUGAUACGGGGUCCGGCUCUGUCGCCCAGGCUGGAGUGCAGUGCCGCGAUCUCGGCUCACUGCAACCUCCGCCUCCCGGGCUGAAGCGAUCCUCCCACCCCAGCCUCCGGGGUAGCUGGGACCACAGGCACGCGCCACCACGCCCGGGUAAUUUUUUGUAUCCUUCCUAGAGACAGGAUUUCGCCAUGUUGCCUGGGCUGGUCUCAAACUCCUGAUUUCUUAGUCUGACCAAGUCAGAGUUUAGUUAUUUCUUACCGUAGCAAGUUGAGAGUUAUUCCAGUUUGCGAUUUCUGGUUGUAACAAUUCUGGCUUUAACCAUGCCUACAUAAUUUUAGUAGUAGCAAAUUCCUGUUCCGUAAUAGGAGCCCCCAUUAUAGCCAUGCGUGCGGUUUAUAACUCCUGUAUUAAUCUAGGUACUGAAGAAUGCAAUUUAAAAAAAUUUAGCAGUGUCUGGAAUUUUUAAAUCAUACCAAGUUAGAAUUCGCAAUAGUCUCGCCCUGGCUAUGCUGGCGAUUUUUCACUCAUGUAGAAGUUGGGGUACGUCGGCUACAGAUAAUUGUUGGUGUCGCAAAUACCGGUUUAACCAUGGCUGUUUCUUCUUAAUCCGAGGAAACUUCGGAUAGGCGCAAGAGGCACGGGUUUAGUGCUGACAAAUAUAAUGGUAGGAUCUCACCAUUCGACCCUGUUUGCAAUUUCUUUCUGUUUGUAGGAUGCUUUGUAUGUUUUGUAUACUCAAAAAAAAAAAUUUUUUUUUGGUGUAUCUUGUUCUGGCAGCGAGGUUAUCAGUGUAUUUUGUUUUAAUUUCUAUUUGCUUUUAAAUUUUUAAUUAUUUUUUAAUUUAAAUGUUACGGUAUUUUUUUCUUACCCACUGUCUUCCCCGGUAGAAUAAAUGUGGCGUAUUUCUUCUACUGAUUUUCAGUGUCACGUCUCAGGUUCUUUCUAACUUGCCUUCUCCCGUGAGCACUGAAGGCGAGCUAGUUCCCCGCCGCUAGGGUUCUCUUCCGCGGCUCUGCUCUUACGCCGAGCCAGCGGUUUCGCAUCCGCACUUUCGCCACUAGGGGCGACUCCGUGUUUUCUCGGUUGCCGCGCUCUUGGUAGCGCUGAACAAAACAACAUUCCUUGUUCAC